rnacentral:rRNA from 1 species
AGGAGUUUGAUCAUGGCUCGAGGACGACGCUGGCGGCGUGCUUAACACAUGCAAGUCGAACGGUGACCCAGGGCUUGCCCUGGUGAUCAGUGGCGAACGGGUGAGUAACACGUGGGCAACCUGCCCCUGACUUCGGGAUAACUCCUCGAAAGAGGAGCUAAUACCGGAUACGACCACUUCGGACAUCCGAUGGUGGUGGAAAGUUUUUCGGUCAGGGAUGGGCCCGCGGCCUAUCAGCUAGUUGGUGGGGUAAUGGCCUACCAAGGCGACGACGGGUAGCCGGCCUGAGAGGGCGACCGGCCACACUGGGACUGAGACACGGCCCAGACUCCUACGGGAGGCAGCAGUGGGGAAUACUGCGCAAUGGGCGAAAGCCUGACGCAGCGACGCCGCGUGAGGGAUGAAGGCCUUCGGGUUGUAAACCUCUUUCAGCAGGGACGAAGCGAAAGUGACGGUACCUGCAGAAGAAGCACCGGCUAACUACGUG